GACGAACGCUGGCGGCGUGCUUAACACAUGCAAGUCGAACGGUGAAGCGCCUUCCUUUUUGGUGGGUGUGGAUGAGUGGCGAACGGGUGAGUAACACGUGAGUAACCUGCCCCCUUCUUCUGGAUAACCGCAUGAAAGUGUGGCUAAUACGGGAUAUUCUGGGUCUGUCGCAUGAUGGGUCUGGGAAAGAUAUUGUUUCGGUGGGGGAUGGGCUCGCGGCCUAUCAGCUUGUUGGUGGGGUGAUGGCCUACCAAGGCGGUGACGGGUAGCCGGCCUGAGAGGGUGGGCGGUCACACUGGGAGUGAGACACGGCCCAGACUCCGACGGGAGGCAGCAGUGGGGAAUAUUGCACAAUGGGCGCAAGGCUGAUGCAGCGACGCCGCGUGAGGGAUGGAGGCCGUCGGGUUGUGAACCUCUUUCGCCAGUGAAGCAGGCCUGCCUCGUUUGUGGGUGGGUUGACGGUAGCUGGAGAAGAAGCGCCGGCUAACUACGUG
rnacentral:rRNA from 1 species